rnacentral:rRNA from 2 species
AAGACGACGACGUUGAUAGGUCGGGUGUGUAAGCGCAGCGAUGCGUUGAGCUAACCGAUACUAAUGAACCGUGAGGCUUAACCUUACAACGCCGAAG